UUCCAGUUCCUCCAGAGACCCACCGCUUUCGCACAUCUCUUCCUCUGGCCAUGGCGCUGCACCGAGGGCUUCACGGUUAUGGUUGAAGGCAGGUGCCUCUGGGGCUUUGCGGCAGGAACAGAGAACAGGACCUGUGACCCGGACACCGGGGAACUCGUGUGCAGGUAUG